AGAUAAAUCCAACGAUACCAAAAA
rnacentral:miRNA from 1 species